rnacentral:tRNA from 1 species
GGAUUGUGGCUCAGUGGUAGAGCGUGCAUCUUGCACACGUGAGGCACUGGGUUCAAUCCUCAGCACCA